GAUGAACGCUGGCGGCGUGCCUAAUACAUGCAAGUCGAGCGAACAGAUGAGGAGCUUGCUCCUCUGACGUUAGCAGCGGACGGGUGAGUAACACGUGGAUAACCUACCUAUAAGACUGGGAUAACUUCGGGAAACCGGAGCUAAUACCGGAUAAUAUAUUGAACCGCAUGGUUCAAUAGUGAAAGACGGUUUUGCUGUCACUUAUAGAUGGAUCCGCGCCGCAUUAGCUAGUUGGUAAGGUAACGGCUUACCAAGGCGACGAUGCGUAGCCGACCUGAGAGGGUGAUCGGCCACACUGGAACUGAGACACGGUCCAGACUCCUACGGGAGGCAGCAGUAGGGAAUCUUCCGCAAUGGGCGAAAGCCUGACGGAGCAACGCCGCGUGAGUGAUGAAGGUCUUCGGAUCGUAAAACUCUGUUAUUAGGGAAGAACAAAUGUGUAAGUAACUAUGCACGUCUUGACGGUACCUAAUCAGAAAGCCACGGCUAACUACGUG
rnacentral:rRNA from 1 species